AUUGAACGCUGGCGGAAUGCUUUACACAUGCAAGUCGAACGGCAGCACGGACUUCGGUCUGGUGGCGAGUGGCGAACGGGUGAGUAAUGUAUCGGAACGUGCCCAGUCGUGGGGGAUAACGUAGUGAAAAUUACGCUAAUACCGCAUACGCUCUACGGAGGAAAGCGGGGGACCGCAAGGCCUCGCGCUCAAGGAGCGGCCGAUGUCCGAUUAGCUAGUUGGUGGGGUAAUGGCCCACCAAGGAUCCGAUAGGUAGCUGGUCUGAGAGGAUGAUCAGCCACACUGGGACUGAGACACAGCCCAGACUCCUACGGGAGGCAGCAGUGGGGAAUUUUGGACGAUAGGGCAAACCCUGAUCCAGCCAGGCCGCGUGCGGGAAGAAAGCCUUCGGGUUGUAAACCGCUUUUAGCCGGAAAGAAAAGGCCAGGGCUAGCACCCCUGGUUCUUGACGGUACCGGCGGAAUAAGCACCGGCUAACUACGUGCCAGCCGCCGCCGUAA
rnacentral:rRNA from 1 species